rnacentral:rRNA from 1 species
AUUGAACGCUGGCGGCAGGCCUAACACAUGCAAGUCGAGCGGAUGAAGGGAGCUUGCUCCUGGCUUCAGCGGCGGACGGGUGAGUAAUGCCUAGGAAUCUGCCUGUUAGUGGGGGAUAACGUCCGGAAACGGGCGCUAAUACCGCAUAAGUCCUGAGGGAGAAAGUGGGGGAUCUUCGGACCUCACGCUAUCAGAUGAGCCUAGGUCGGAUUAGCUAGUUGGUGGGGUAAAGGCCUACCAAGGCGACGAUCCGUAACUGGUCUGAGAGGAUGAUCAGUCACACUGGAGCUGAGACACGGUCCAGACUCCUACGGGAGGCAGCAGUGGGGAAUAUUGGACAAUGGGCGGAAGCCUGAUCCAGCCAUGCCGCGUGUGUGAAGAAGGUCUUCGGAUUGUAAAGCACUUUAGGUUGGGAGGAAGGGCAGUAAGUUAAUACCUUGCUGUUUUGACGUUACCAACAGAAUAAGCACCGGCUAACUUCGUG